GAGCCUGAAGUUCUGUAUGAACACUUCAUUUACGGUGAAAUAGUGAGAUUAUCUCCAGGCUUA
rnacentral:tRNA from 1 species